CUCAGAAAAAGGCAUACUCAUCGAAAGACGGGGACGCAAAAUCACAGAUCUACGGCAUAUGCUAGGAUGGCUGGGUUAUCUGG
rfam:Oceanobacillus picturae, S1, WGS project CCAX01000000 data, contig: 000001